UGGGGAAUUUUGGACAAUGGGCGCAAGCCUGAUCCAGCCAUGCCGCGUGCGGGAAGAAGGCCUUCGGGUUGUAAACCGCUUUUGUCAGGGAAGAAAUCUUCUGGGUUAAUACCUCGGGAGGAUGACGGUACCUGAAGAAUAAGCACCGGCUAACUACGUGCCAGCAGCCGCGGUAAUACGUAGGGUGCAAGCGUUAAUCGGAAUUACUGGGCGUAAAGCGUGCGCAGGCGGUUUUGUAAGACAGAGGUGAAAUCCCCGGGCUCAACCUGGGAACUGCCUUUGUGACUGCAAGGCUUGAGUGCGGCAGAGGGGGAUGGAAUUCCGCGUGUAGCAGUGAAAUGCGUAGAUAUGCGGAGGAACACCGAUGGCGAAGGCAAUCCCCUGGGCCUGCACUGACGCUCAUGCACGAAAGCGUGGGGAGCAAACA
rnacentral:rRNA from 1 species